UAACACAUGCAAGUCGAACGAGAAAGUGGAGCAAUCCAUGAGUACAGUGGCGUACGGGUGAGUAACACGUGACUAACCUACCCUCGAGUGGGGAAUAACUUCGGGAAACCGAGGCUAAUACCGCAUAACAUCUACGGAUCAAAUGCGCAAGCAGCUUGAGGAGGGGGUCGCGGCUGAUUAGCUAGUUGGCGGGGUAACGGCCCACCAAGGCAAUGAUCAGUAGCCGGCCUGAGAGGGCGCACGGCCACACUGGAACUGAAACACGGUCCAGACUCCUACGGGAGGCAGCAGUGGGGAAUUUUGCGCAAUGGGGGAAACCCUGACGCAGCAACGCCGCGUGGAGGAUGAAGCCCCUUGGGGUGUAAACUCCCUUCGAUCGGGACGAUUAUGACGGUACCGGAUGAACAAGCACCGGCUAACUCUGUGC
rnacentral:rRNA from 1 species